rnacentral:rRNA from 1 species
GGUCUUGGACGAUGGUCUGCCAUUAACUUGGUAUGUACCUAAUUGUCUGAGUCCAUCCUCGAGGAGUGCAUGUCUGUCAUUUAGUUGAUGGGCAUGGGUUCCUCGUCAUUUACUGUGAGCAAAAUAGGGUGUUCAAAGCAGGCUUAUGCCGUUGAAUACAUUAGCAUGGAAUAAUAAGAUAGGACCUUGGUCUAUUUUGUUGGUUUGUACUCCAAGGUA